GACGAACCGUGCGAACGUUGUUCGGAAUCACUGGGCUUAAAGGGCGCGUAGGCGGGCUGCCAAGUCUGGGGUGAAAUCCCACGGCUCAACCGUGGAACUGCCUCGGAUACUGGCGGCCUCGAGGGAGGUAGGGGCAUGCGGAACUGUGGGUGGAGCGGUGAAAUGCGUUGAUAUCCACAGGAACUCCGGUGGCGAAGGCGGCAUUCUGGACCGAUAUUGACGCUGAGGAGCGAAAGCCAGGGGAGCAAACGGG
rnacentral:rRNA from 1 species